rnacentral:rRNA from 1 species
UAGAACUCAUCAUUAAUUUGAGAGUUUGAUCCUGGCUCAGGACGAACGCUGGCGGCGUGCCUAAUACAUGCAAGUCGAACGAACUCUGGUAUUGAUUGGUGCUUGCAUCAUGAUUUACAUUUGAGUGAGUGGCGAACUGGUGAGUAACACGUGGGAAACCUGCCCAGGAGCGGGGGAUAACACCUGGAAACAGAUGCUAAUACCGCAUAACAACUUGGACCGCAUGGUCCGAGCUUGAAAGAUGGCUUCGGCUAUCACUUUUGGAUGGUCCCGCGGCGUAUUAGCUAGAUGGUGGGGUAACGGCUCACCAUGGCAAUGAUACGUAGCCGACCUGAGAGGGUAAUCGGCCACAUUGGGACUGAGACACGGCCCAAACUCCUACGGGAGGCAGCAGUAGGGAAUCUUCCACAAUGGACGAAAGUCUGAUGGAGCAACGCCGCGUGAGUGAAGAAGGGUUUCGGCUCGUAAAACUCUGUUGUUAAAGAAGAACAUAUCUGAGAGUAACUGUUCAGGUAUUGACGGUAUUUAACCAGAAAGCCACGGCUAACUACGUGCCAGCAGCCGCGGUAAUACGUAGGUGGCAAGCGUUGUCCGGAUUUAUUGGGCGUAAAGCGAGCGCAGGCGGUUUUUAAGUCUGAUGUGAAAGCCUUCGGCUCAACCGAAGAAGUGCAUCGGAAACUGGAAAACUUGAGUGCAGAAGAGGACAGUGGAACUCCAUGUGUAGCGGUGAAAUGCGUAGAUAUAUGGAAGAACACCAGUGGCGAAGGCGGCUGUCUGGUCUGUAACUGACGCUGAGGCUCGAAAGUAUGGGUAGCAAACAGGAUUAGAUACCCUGGUAGUCCAUACCGUAAACGAUGAAUGCUAAGUGUUGGAGGGUUUCCGCCCUUCAGUGCUGCAGCUAACGCAUUAAGCAUUCCGCCUGGGGAGUACGGCCGCAAGGCUGAAACUCAAAGGAAUUGACGGGGGCCCGCACAAGCGGUGGAGCAUGUGGUUUAAUUCGAAGCUACGCGAAGAACCUUACCAGGUCUUGACAUACUAUGCAAAUCUAAGAGAUUAGACGUUCCCUUCGGGGACAUGGAUACAGGUGGUGCAUGGUUGUCGUCAGCUCGUGUCGUGAGAUGUUGGGUUAAGUCCCGCAACGAGCGCAACCCUUAUUAUCAGUUGCCAGCAUUAAGUUGGGCACUCUGGUGAGACUGCCGGUGACAAACCGGAGGAAGGUGGGGAUGACGUCAAAUCAUCAUGCCCCUUAUGACCUGGGCUACACACGUGCUACAAUGGAUGGUACAACGAGUUGCGAACUCGCGAGAGUAAGCUAAUCUCUUAAAGCCAUUCUCAGUUCGGAUUGUAGGCUGCAACUCGCCUACAUGAAGUCGGAAUCGCUAGUAAUCGCGGAUCAGCAUCCGCGGUGAAUACGUUCCCGGGCCUUGUACACACCGCCCGUCACACCAUGAGAGUUUGUAACACCCAAAGUCGGUGGGGUAACCUUUUAGGAACCAGCCGCCUAAGGUGGGACAGAUGAUUAGGGUGAAGUCGUAACAAGGUAGCCGUAGGAGAACCUGCGG